rnacentral:snoRNA from 1 species
CCUCUUAAUGACAAAGAAGUGAUCUCCUAAAUCCUCACUGGCCUCGACUAUGACUACAACCCUAUCAUGUCAGUGCUUGUUUCAAGG